CACGCAGGCGGUUUUUUUAAGUCAGAUGUGAAAGGUACCGGCUCAACCGAAGAAGUGCAUCGGAAACUGGGAAACUUGAGUGCAGAAGAGGACAGUGGAACUCCAUGUGUAGCGGUGAAAUGCGUAGAUAUAUGGAAGAACACCAGUGGCGAAGGCGGCUGUCUGGUCUGUAACUGACGCUGAGGCUCGAAAGCGUGGGAGCAAACA
rnacentral:rRNA from 1 species